UUGGUUAAGCUACUAAGAGCACACGGAGGAUGCCUAGGCGCUAGGAGCCGAUGAAGGACGUGGCGAACAACGAAACUGCCUCGGGGAGCUGUAAGCAAGCUUUGAUCCGGGGGUGUCCGAAUGGGGAAACCCAGCUGGGGUAAUUUCCAGUUACUCAUAACUGAAUACAUAGGUUAUGUAGAGGCAUACCAGGGGAACUGAAACAUCUAAGUACCUUGAGGAAGAGAAAACAAUAGUGAUUCCGUCAGUAGCGGCGAGCGAACGCGGAGAAGCCCAAACCAGAGAGCUUGCUCUUUGGGGUUGUGGGACAUCUCACAUGGAGUUACAAAGGA
rnacentral:rRNA from 1 species